rnacentral:tRNA from 1 species
UGUUAUGAAGUAUUAAAGUAUGUUUAAUUUCCAAUUAAAAGGAGGAAAAAUUGUUGUUUGUAUC